GAUCAUGGCUCAGGAUGAACGCUAGCUACAGGCUUAACACAUGCAAGUCGAGGGGCAGCGGGAAGUCAGCUUGCUGACUUUGCCGGCGACCGGCGCACGGGUGAGUAACACGUAUCCAACCUUCCCGUUACUCUGGAAUAGCCUUUCGAAAGAAAGAUUAAUACCGGAUAGUAUCGAGAGAUUGCAUGAUAACCCGAUUAAAGAUUCAUCGGUAACGGAUGGGGACCUGCGUUCCAUUAGGCAG
rnacentral:rRNA from 1 species